CCCUUAGAUGAUUUGGGCUGCACGCGCGCUACACUGACCCUAACAAUGAGCAACUGUCUGGCCUGAGAUGGCUGGGUAGCCUUUUCAACCCAUGUCAUGAUUGGGCUAGAUUUUUGUAAGUCUUGAUCUCUAACGAGGAAUCCCUAGUAUGCGUGAAUCAUCAAUCCAUGCAGAUUAUGUCCCUGCCCUUUGUACACACCGCCCGUCGCUCCUACUGAUUGGGUGAUCCGGUGAGCUGUUCGGCCAUAGCAAUGUUUCUUGAGCAGGCAAUGAAUGUUUCGCAAACCUUGCCACUUAGAGGAAGGAGAAGUCGUAACA
rnacentral:rRNA from 1 species